GACAGAGGGUGCAAACGUUGCUCGGAAUUACUGGGCGUAAAGCGCGUGUAGGCGGACCACCAAGUCGGACGUGAAAGCCCUGAGCUCAACUCAGGAACUGCAUCCGAAACUGGCGGUCUGGAGUAGUGGAGAGGAAAGCAGAAUUCCUGGUGUAGAGGUGAAAUUCGUAGAUAUUCGCAAGAACACCAGUGGCGAAGGCGGCUCACUGGCCCGAUACUGACGCUGAGGCACGAAAGCGUGGGGAGCAAACAGG
rnacentral:rRNA from 1 species